rnacentral:lncRNA from 1 species
CUUUUUUUUUUUUUAAGGCGAUUUUGAUUAAACAGAAAAUUAAAAGAUUACAAGCCAAUUAACUAAACAACUAAAAGUAGAUAAGAUAUAUGGAAUAGAUGUGGCGUGCUAAUCCUCGGCUUGAAGGUCAAAAACCAAUAGCGAGGUUUCCUCCUAUCUUCUGGUAGUUGUAUCUGUCGCUCGUCGGAUGUGGAAAACUGUUGCUCGCGAAAUGAUCUCAUUCGCGGUCACUGGAAGGCGUGGAGCCGAGGUCUCACUCGAGGUCCUUCGAUCAAGUUAAAAAAGAGGUUAGGGAGUAGAUUUGAACUGGAAGCUAGGCGUGGAGUGCUGCUGAUCUGAGGUGACCUCGCUCGCUCCCCAUUUCUCGCUCUCGCAUGCUCGCUCUCUUCCAAUCCCUCUUUCUCGGUCGAUCGCCGCCCUAUCGCCGCCAGGGCUCGCUCGCGGUCAGUGGCCGGACUUCAACUCGCGCGUUGGCAUGGCUCGCUCACUCGCUGGCACCGGACUUCUUUUCGGUCGAAUCGCCGACCGGGCUCGCUCGCGCUUGCUGACAUGCCUUCGCUCGCGGUUAGGCAGCUUUCCCUUCGACUUGCGAUCAGACGGAUGCUUCUACUUCGCGCAAUUCACUCGCUGAUUGCGUUAGCUCGCUCGUUCGCUGGAGGGCGAACGAGCGACCUUCUCUUCGCUAGGGAUUUGCCUGCAAGGG